rnacentral:rRNA from 1 species
GUCCACGCCGUAAACGUUGGGCACUAGGUGUGGGGUCUAUUCAACGGACUCCGUGCCGUCGCUAACGCAUUAAGUGCCCCGCCUGGGGAGUACGGCCGCAAGGCUAAAACUCAAAGGAAUUGACGGGGCCCGCACAAGCAGCGGAGCAUGUUGCUUAAUUCGAGGCAACGCGAAGAACCUUACCUGGGUUUGACAUGUAGAGAAAAGCCGUAGAGAUACGGUGUCCUUCGGGGUUCUACACAGGUGGUGCAUGGUUGUCGU